rnacentral:rRNA from 1 species
AGUGAACGCUGGCGGUAGGCCUAACACAUGCAAGUCGAACGGCAGCACAGUAAGAGCUUGCUCUUACGGGUGGCGAGUGGCGGACGGGUGAGGAAUACAUCGGAAUCUACUUUUUCGUGGGGGAUCACGUAGGGACACUUACGCUAAUACCGCAUACGACCUACGGGUGAAAGCAGGGGAUCUUCGGACCUUGCGCGAUUGAAUGAGCCGAUGUCGGAUUAGCUAGUUGGCGGGGUAAAGGCCCACCAAGGCGACGAUCCGUAGCUGGUCUGAGAGGAUGACCAGCCACACUGGAACUGAGACACGGUCCAGACUCCUACGGGAGGCAGCAGUGGGGAAUAUUGGACAAUGGGCGCAAGCCUGAUCCAGCCAUACCGCGUGGGUGAAGAAGGCCUUCGGGUUGUAAAGCCCUUUUGUUGGGAAAGAAAAGCAGCAGGUUAAUACCCCGCUGUUCUGACGGUACCCAAAGAAUAAGCACCGGCUAACUUCGUG